GACAGCGUAGUAUAAUGGGUAUGGCAUUGGUCUUGUAACCAGAAGGUCGCAGGUUCGAUUCCCGGGUAGGACA
rnacentral:tRNA from 1 species